rnacentral:lncRNA from 13 species
GAACGUGACAGCGUCCUGUGUGCUCCGAGAGCGAAAUGCUCUGAAUUUACUAACGGGCAAUAUGACAACACCCAGAGCACACUCUGGCACUCCAUAUUUAAUUUAUGAACACACUCAUUGUAUAAACCAGCCUUUAGUCUUGAAAUCUUUGGUUGUUUAGUACAUUCAAAAGUGAGGUUACAAGUUUAUCAACUUACAAAGCAGAAUUACUUUCCCAUUGUUCCUCAACUAUAGUGUAUGAUAUACCAUUUUGUGGCUCUAAGUCUCUACUUUUAUCAAAUGUCGAAAACACAAUUUCAAAUUUUGCUACGUAAGACCGAAUCGAGCAGGCGGAAGCAGCGAAGGAGGGACAGCGACGACACAGGGGUUCGCAGCCACGACUUAGGCCCAAGAAGCAGCCUCAAAAAAGUUUUGGGGUGGCACACGGGGUGGUCUGCGACGCUGAGGGGUGAGUCAGAGACCAUGGUGGAAGUGUUGGAUAGAUUGAGAGAGAGUGAACGGAGGGGUGAGAUAGAGACCUUCGAGGAGUGGUUGGAGAAAUGUGAAGAGUGUGAAGUGGAAGAGCUGUUGGUUUGGCUGGAGAGGCAAGACAGUCGACCUGAGGAGCGUGUUAGCCGCCCGAUGCCACCUGUGCCAGCUCUCCGCACUCGCUUUGAGGAGAGUGUCAUCGUUCUGGUACAAUGUGUGCCGGUUCUUCGCACCGUGUCUCCAGUGCGCCUCCACAGCCCGGUACGUUCUGUGCCAACUCCCCACUCUUGCCGUGCGAAGGUUGUCAUCUGUCCAGGACACGUUGUGCCAGCUUUACGCUCCAGACCUCCAGUGCACCUCCACGGCCCAGUGCGUCCUGUGCUGGUUCUACGCACCGUGUCUCCAGUGCGCCUCCAUAGCCCGGUACAUCCUGUGCCAGCUCCCCACACUUGCCGUGCAAAGGUUGUCAUCUGUCCAGGACAUGUUGUGCCAGCUUUACGCGCCAGACCUCCAGUGCGCCUCCACGGCCCAGUACGUCCUGUGCCGGUUCUACGCACCGUGUCUCCAGUGCGCCUCCACAGCCCAGUGCGUCCUGUGUCAGCUCCCCGCACUUGCCGUGCGAAGAUUGUCAUCUGUCCAGGAUACUUUGUGCCAGCUCUAAACUCCAGACCUCCAGUCCAUCUCCCCAGCCCGAUACAUCCUGUGCCGGCUCCACUCUCCAGGCCUCCUGUGCGUCUCCCCAGCCCAGUACAUCCUGUGCCGGUUCCACGCACCUGGCCUCCAGUGCGUCUCCCCAGCCUGGUACACCCUGUGCCAGCUCCACUCACCAGGCCUCCAGCGACGGUUCACAGUCCGGAGCCUCCAGCGACGGUUCCCAGUCCGGAGCCUCCAGCGACGGUUCCCAGUCCGGAGCCUCCAGCGAUGAUCCAUGGCCCGGAGCCUCCAGUAAUAAUCCAUGGCCCGGAGCCUCCAGUGAUGAUUCAUGGCCCGGAACCUCCAGUGAUGAUCCAUGGUCCAGAGCCUCCAGUGAGGGUUCCUAGUCCAGAGACUCCUGCGAAGGUUCCCGUUCCUGAGCCUCCUGCAAGUGUUCCUAGUCCGAAGCCUCCUGCAAGGGUUCCCAGUCCGGAGCCUCCAGCGAGGAAUCCUAGUCCAGAGCCUCCUGCGAGGGUUCCCAGUCCAAGCUUCCUGUGAGGGUUACCCGCAACGGAGCCACCACCAAGGCCAGAUGCCCA